CGGAGUGGCCCAAAAACUAUUGUAUGUUUUGCUGUGUUAUUCCGGAGCUGAACUAUUCAUUUCCCAAAGAGACUUUUUUACCCCAUGGCUCUCUGCUUCCCUAGUCUGAUGAAUCUUACAAUAUUCUCACCUUCAAUUACUAACUCACCAUCUUCAAAAUCUCGAUUCUCAUCGUUUCAAAACCCACCAUUAAUUUCGGGUUUAAACUUUCCAAAUCAUAAGAGAAGGAAACCAAUACAAUCUAAUAGAACUAGAGCUGUUAGAGAAUGGCAAGAUUAUGAAGAAGCAGUUAAACAAAAAGACUUAGCUCGAGCUCUUAGAUUCUUGAAAUCCCUCGACAACCCUCAAAUUCAAAAACAAUCUUCUUCUUCUACUUCUGUUGACCCUUAUUUGGAUGUUGAUAAUGAUUUGAGUUUAUUGCGGCCAGAAAAGGACUGGGAAGUCUUGGAUGCUUGUUUAAAUGCCGAUGAUAUGAAGCUAGUGGCAACUACUUAUAGAUUUCUUCAAGAACGUGGCUUGUUAUCAAAUUUCGGAAAGUGCAGGAAUAUUGUGCUGGAAGGCCCAAGAGAUGUUACGCCAACAAUUCUCAAGUCUUCUACUGGUUUGGAAGCGUCUAAGCUUUCCCCGAAGAAGUGGGGUCUUUCUGGAACCUCUACUGCUGUCUUAGUUGCUUUUCUCGGAGGGGUAUCCUAUCUACUUUCCAAGGAUAUAGAUGUAAGACCUAACCUCACCGCCAUACUGGGGCUGGCCAUGUUAGACUCUAUUUUUCUUGGAGGUUCCUGCUUGGCCCAAAUAUCUAGUUAUUGGCCUCCAUAUAAGCGCCGGAUUCUAGUUCAUGAAGCAGGGCAUCUUCUUACAGCUUAUCUUAUGGGAUGUCCAAUUCGUGGGGUGAUCUUGGACCCAAUUGUUGCAAUGCAGAUGGGGAUCCAGGGCCAGGCAGGUACUCAGUUUUGGGAUGAGAAGUUAGAGAAAGAGCUUGGUGAAGGUCGACUCAGCACUGCUGCUUUUGACAGGUACUGUAUGGUACUGUUUGCUGGAAUUGCAGCUGAAGCUCUUGUAUAUGGAGAGGCAGAAGGUGGAGAAAAUGAUGAAAACCUGUUCAGGAGUAUAUGUAUUCUUCUGCAACCCCCACUAUCCGUUGCACAAAUGUCAAAUCAGGCAAGGUGGUCUGUCCUGCAAUCAUACAACCUUCUCAAGUGGCAUAAACGUGCGCAUCGAGCUGCUGUUAAAGCUCUUGAAAAUGGUAGUAAUCUCAGUGUUGUGAUCAAGAGUAUAGAAGAAGCAAUGGUUUCUAGUAAAUAAUCUGGGACAAACUGGAGUCUGGUGGAGGUUGCAUUAGUUUCCAAAUGCGUAAGGGGCAACAAUGAAAUACACGAGUUUUUAAUGCAGUGAGAAGACAACUGCACGCUUUAGUAAACGGUAAUGCUGCCUUUUACCCUGCAGCGUGAUUUGGGGAUAGAAGCACAUACUAAAUUAGGUACACAUGUAUUAUAGUUUGUGAUUGAUUCCUUUUCUUGGGGAUUCCAGCAAAACGGCCUGGUGCUUGUGUUAGAUAUGACACUUACGGGUGUUUUAAGAAGACGGUGGUGGUUCCCAUAUCCAGACAUGGAAUGGAAGGUGAUGGAAGAUGUAAUAUGUCCGUCAUCAAUGGUCAAGCUCCAAACUCUCAAGUAAAGGAUGAUCAACCAUUUGCCAGGUCGCAGGCACAGCAAAUACUCGUGUUACCAGGGCACUGUGCACAACACAUCAACCCCAAAAUCAACAGAGAAUAUCCUGCUUGUACCCAAUGAAUAGCUGUACUAAUAACAGCUACAAUAUUUAGAAGUCUUUAGAAGAUUGGGACAAAUCGAGCAGGUCACAUCUUUUAAAGCGAUUGUUCUAAUACUUUUUGUAGAUAGCACUGUAUAUGUAACGAUGCAAAUGUUGUGAUAUGUACUAAUGGUAGUGGAGUGCACUGCACUGAUGUAAAACAAACCACAACACGGUGUGAUUUUAAUUGUAUCAUCUAUGUCAUUGAAGUUUAUUGCCA